AAGAUCUCUGUUAAAAAAAGGAAGAGAAAAAAAACAGUUUAUGAAAAUUUGAUGCUGUCCUUUCGUUUUUUUACCUUAAGGACAGAUAAGUAUGACGAAUGGUAAUGCAAAAUUUUUUGAUUAGAUUAAACUUUCUGGUCCGUCUGUCCACUGAAAGCUGACGGAACAAGGACACGUUUCGUACAUGAUGCUGUCCCACCUCCCCCACGGGUUCGUACGAUGAACUUUCGUUCCGCGACAAAAUCGCGCAAUAGUCGAAGUUUGCCGAAUACUGGCCCAUACUGGAUACGUCCUCAAGCACCAACAAACCAGAGCGGGGGAAAAAACAUGGUAGAAAGUUUUUUAAUCGAAACUGCUACUACUGCUCCCGCAAUGACGAAAUGUUUGAUUUAUUCAGCGGAAAAAAGUGGAUAUGAAGUUCGGGACAUAACUCGCGAACUACCACGGGAUGCUUGCAACAAACAUUUUCCAUCAAAUUAUAUCCUUUGACCUAUGAGAUACCAUCACCCGGAACUGUGUUUCCAAUGGGGUUUUUUUUUGUUGGGGGUUUUUGUUUUCGGACACGGACAGUAGCGGAAGCGUGAUGCGCUUCAUUCGAAAGGGCCAACUUUUAAUAACCGGGUUAGAAGUUGUAAAUCGAUUUGAGUUAAGCGAAGCGGUAAAGUUACGGCUGCUUCCUGUUGUUGGCCACGCCACUGUUAGAUGGGGUUGGAAAGAUGGUAAACAUCAGCACACCAAAAAUGUUGACCUCCGGUUGUAGAAUGUUUUUUUUUUUGCGAUAUCCAAGGGAGAGGGAAAGGACCCAGACAGGAGUGAGUGAGUUAAGCUAAAAAGCGUAGCAAAUAGAGUUUACUUAAGCGACAGUUUUUGGUGAAAAUUGAAUCUACUUUCACCAUGGAGUUUUUGCUCCACCAAGGAAAAAUGUUCUAUUGGAAAUAGUGAUGGGCGUGUCGAUUCCAACCUAUCGAGUCGGAGAAAUCCAAAAGCGACCCGAUCCGGUUCGGGUAGAACUGUCGAUUCAAGUACCAGAAGGUGUAAGACCGACUCCGACCUGUGGGUGCAACGAGUUCGGAUCGAACUCAGGUUGAAGUAGGUUCAGUAGGUGCAACGAUUCCGAUGUGCAACUAGGAGUCCGGAUCGGACUCGGAUCGAUUCAGUACGGAGAUUCAGUAGGUGCAACGAUUCCGGUAGGUGGGUGCAGCGAGUUCGGAUCGGACUCAGGUCGAAGUAGGUUCAGUAGGUCUAGUAAGUGCAAGUUACCAUAAGCGACUUCGACCCGUGUGUGAAACGAGUUCGGAUCGCACUCGGGUCCAAAUAGAUUCAGUAGGUUCAGUAGGUCAUAAGCGACUCCGAUUCGUGGGUGCAGCGAGUUCGAGUCGGAACUACUGAACCUCCUUAAAUUUGCGGGUCGACACGAACCCGUUGCACCCACGUAUAGAGGUCAAUUCCGAUUCUGCUGCACCCGACUUUGUGUCGAGUCAUGAAAUAAAUCGUAUGACCCAUCACUAAUUGGAAUUAUCGGAAUUCUGCAACCAGAUUUACUUCGUCUGGAGAACUUCUUCCAAUUUUUAUUCAAGCAUCCUGAUUAGGUUAAGGUUUACUUACAUAAUAACUCACCUAAAGUCCUUCUACCCUCUGAAAAAUUCCUAUCAGAAAAACAAUCGAACCAUCAGCAAUUAAUGUGGGAUUUUCCACGACAAAGAAGGGCUCUGUUCGGAGCUUUGUCCCGCUUCGUUAAAACACAACAAAUCCCUCCGAUUGACGAAACACGUGUAUAACCGUUUGCGCUUGUCAGCGUGUGAAGCUACUAUAAUACAUAUACUACCUUUUCACUGGCUGCAAUCUGUUUUAUUUUACUUUCCGUUGUGUUUACGCUGUCUGCUAUCCGUCCUUGCUGUAUCCCGACCGGCUCAUGGUGGAUCAGUAGAUUUACGAACGGUAGCGUGGAAAACUUCAUGACGUUCGUGAAAGCAUGUGAGACAUUCCAUCUUCGAGGAAAAUCGCUUUUCCUUUUGUACCUGCUUCUUGAAACCAUGGUUGGCGAAGAAGUUUUCCACGACGAUUUUCUUCUCCGUCGGUGCGAUUUUCUUAGGAAGCUUUCGGUGGUUCAGCAGCAUCAACCAACGAAAGCAAGCGAUGAUCAGGGGUUUUUCGUGUCACCUGCACUACUACUGAAGGUUACUCUAGGAAAGGGUGUUUUUUUUGCUUCUUCUGCUGGGUUUGAAGUCAAUUUUUCUAGUCGCUUCUAAAAGUGCUGUGUGUUGAACGACCUGGAAACGCUUGGUUGGUUGCGUCUGAUGCGGGUUCACACUUCGCCAUUGCCACGUGACAUACACGCACAGCCGUAUCUUUCGGCUUUUAAUGAAGUGCAGCAUGUUGUGUUCGUCAUCAGCAGCAGCAAAAACAGGGGGGAUGCCGCUAAGGGGGAAAAAUGUCAAUGUACGACAGCGACGAUCGCGCGCGCCGGUACGUUGUUUCCGUGUUGGGAGUUAAUUUCAUCGACAAACAGUAAACACACAUCCGUUCCGGGUGCUCCGUUUCGAUACGGAGGGGGCGUAAUAGAAUGGUCCAUUGCCAGUCCACAAUAACGCCUGUUUCUGGCACGCAUCAUCAUCGGUGGAACGUUAAAGAACAAGCAUGAAAAAAGUGGAAAGAUAGAUGCGUUCGAUCGAGCGGGGCAAUACAGAGAACUGGAGAGAAAACAACCUUCCAUUCGGGUGACGCCUAACAGAUGUGCUGUUAAAAGCCGAUAUUGAUUAGGUUCUUACAGCGGCUCUCGUGUCGUUAUGAACUGCAAAUAACAACAGACUUUCGUACGUAUAUAGGGCGCAACGGGUGACUGGAGAAGAGAUGCGAGUGACAAAAAAAAACAGACGAGACCUAAUCCAAAUGUCACUCGGAACAAGGGUGGUAGCCGAUGGAAGCUAAUGGAACAUGUGGCAUACGGUACGGUACGGUUGUGAUGAGCAGGAUCGAACUAAUGGUCCCUCUGAGGGUCGUGGGCUGUUAUGGGUGCUUUUUAACGGAACCGUAGGAAGUGUUCGGUUUGAAUGUUUACCAAUUUUAGAGCCCGCUUAUGUAUGUUUCCUCCCCUAGCGAUUAUUUUCGGAACGUUGUGGGCGAAAAAAAAAUGAAGAAAAUAAACUCGUAAGCUGGUGAAUAGGGAAAGCACCGAGCCGAACACGCACUUUGGCUGGGUAUGAGUUUCAAUCAGUGUUUUUAAUGAAAUUAAUAUCUGUUUUUCGAGCAUCAAAAAUCUCGAAAUCUGGCCGCUGCUAAGUGAUACGUGGAACAAAAAAGGAUGUUUCGUGUUCUGGUAAUGGUACAAAAAGCAAUUCCGUUGAUUCGUUUCUUGUUAAAAAUAAUUAAUGGAAAAUAUACAAAUUCACCAUUUGUUUUACACGCAUUUAUAAUUACUUUCACUUUCGAUGAAGCAGCAAAAAAAAAAAUCUGCAACACACCACCACUGUCCCGGAUGUGUGUUAUAUUAUUGAUUGGAAGGGUAAACAACCAGUACAAAAAUCGAACCGAACAAAAUGUAGUACUAAAAAGUGGUUUGCUUUUGCAUGGUGUGAUGGGAAAGCCCAAAUCCGUUCCGUUGUUAUCGGAACAUCGGUUUAUAAUGUGGAGUAACCUACCGAGUAAGCUGCUUGUUCCGGGUGAACAGGAAAGAUGGACCCAGUCUGGGCCUGGUUCCGUUUUUUUUUCAUACCCUUCUCCUCUGUAUUUCGCCCCAAAACAUUGUUACUUCUUGCUUCACGAACUCUUUCGGAGGCGAAAAAGCCGAGAGCCGUUGUCUAGUCAUGGAUGGUUUGUUUUUAUUGGCAUGUGUACCCUACUGUUGUCCGUUCGUCUUCGAUUUCAUUCGUUUCAUUUCGUCCUGUUGCAGCUCUCGAUGUCCCUCGGUGUGUGCGUUCAGACGAGAGUCACAAGAGCACAUGUUGAGUGCCUGUUGGGCAGAAUGUUGUUUCCGAUUUAAAGCAAACAUCCUUUUUCCCCUGUCCUGUCCCCAGGGGCAGGGCACCAGCUGUGGGCAGACGAUCACAAUGAGCACCGAAAGAGAAGAGCUGGUCCUCAUUGAACAUGUUGCAGAAAAUGAAUACUCAUCGGCCACGGCAUAGGAUACAUAUGCCUGUAAUCCUUCCGCUUCAUCCAUUUUCCACCGGGGGGAAUGUUUGUGUUUGAAAGAAGCUUAUGAUUCUUGCUGGGUGCUGCUGGUGAUGAUUCGGUCCGGAACCGAACACAAUUGAAACUUGGUCCGAAAGAAGAAAGGAGGAAAAAAAAGAAAGAUCCCCAGACGCAUGUGAAGUUGUGCAGCUUUAGGAAGGAAACACACAUGCCACAAAACUGCUUCAAAGAAUGCUCGAAGCACCACUCUCUUGCUCAAGACGAUUCCACUUUCUUACUCGAGCACGAUGGAUAGCCACUUGCGCUGUGAAGAGGUUUUUGGGAACUUUGAUGCAGCUUAAACAUAGAGAAAGAAUACGUCCUCUCCUGGACUUCUGGACGAUUCAACAACCAGACCCUGCGGCGGCAACGACUCCCCAGUAAAAAAAUGGGGAGCAAACGAAGAUGAAGAGCGUAACGAUAAUAAAGUAAUCAGUAUAUAAUUCCACAUACUUGGCACCAGAUGGCUCACAGCUUUUGGGGUUAGUUUAUGACCGUUGUUGCUUGCGGAAGAUAAAGUUUUACGAAUCAUUCUGUCCAAGUUGGUCGUAUUGGUGUGUGAGUUGGUUGGAAUGAGAGUUGAGUCUGGCAGGAUGCAUGCAGUUUUUUCCCCACAUUCUUUCUUUGUUUCUAAACAAACUAAAGGGUGGGAAGUUCAAUGCAGUACUAAGCUCAUCUUUCAGGAUACUUACUGCCAUGCAGUAGAGCCUUUGGGGCUAGCUUUUCCCAUUGCCCAGAUCCUGUUUGAUCCUUUCCUAUUGGAACCAUAAUCGUACCACACACAAUCGAUGCGUCGUAGCAAUGCGAAUGGACGAGAACUUGUUGUACUGAUAUCUAUUCGAAGUUGGGCGAAUACUGGGAAUAGUCGACGAAAAGAGGCUUUCAGCUAAAUUGGGAAUACAAGUACAUUCCUCGUGUCUUUCUCUAACGAAGUCAAAUGCUCCCUGCGAACGGUCUUCUUUGUGGAUGAUCUAGCCUCCCCCACGUGAAUGCUUCCUCCGUUUUAUCGGAGAGCUUUUAAUUAAACGUCUAAAUCCUGUGUGUUCUUCAACGUGAAUCCUCUACAGCACACGAACCUAACGUCCAACCGAUCUACGGAUAGCUUCUCCGUUAAGCUGAUUAGAUUCCAUUCGCUAAAAUCCUCCAUUUUUUUUGUCUCUCUUCUUGCUCUCGUUACAGGUAGGCGAACAGGGUAGUACCGACACGUUUGGAUCGGUUUCCAGUAUGACUUCGUUUGUUCGUUUCGGAUUAGAACUUGAAGGGUCGGGCGACUCCAUUACCGCAUACGGUACUGUGCGACGACCCUCACCAGGGGAAAGCAUUUCGAUGACGUAUUAGUGGUCUUUCUCCAUCGUCGCCGUCGGUCGGAGACUGGGAGGCAACGAAGCGCAGCGAACCGGUAACAACACUCCAACGCACCACGAACAGCCCGUGUGACAUUUCAGCGGGACCAUGGAUGGAUGGUUCCGCGCUGUAAAGUGACGUUGGACGUUCCUUCGUUCGCAACAAUGGCAUCGUGCAAAUGGGAAGGUGAAAUAUGCCUUUGUUUUUGAGUUUCAGCUCAACUACACACGCGCGGUGUACCGGGAUAGGGCGUACUAGCAUCGACAGACCCGCGGUACCAUCAAUACUGUCCACACCCGGUACCGUGUUGCUGCAAUGUCCGGAAACGCGUCGGAGCCAGGCAUUCAUGAUGAUGGUUGGUUGUGCUAAAGCCACACCGAUUCUGCCACAGAUGAGUGCGGGAAGGCAACGAACCAUGGCGAAGAGUGAAGAUGCAAAAAAAAACAACGAAAUGUUUAAUAAUGAAACCCAUUGUGUAGUGUGGUCGAUUUUUCUUGCGCCGGUGUAUUCAUGGACCGGGAAAGUUGUUGUUCAAGACAAAAUAUGGCACAACUUGUACACCGGCUCUUGUGCCAUUCGAUGCCUUUUUCUCUGCAGAUGCGUUGAAGGAGGUGGAGCUUCCCCUCGUGGCCAAAAUAUGAAUGCGUAAUCGGGUAAACUAUUUCCUGCACUUUGCCACCCUACCUCCCAACAUAUUCCCAUCAAAAGAAGUUUGGUUGAGUAGCCUGGACAUUUUUUCUUCUCCGUGUGCUUCCUUCAAGACACUGCUUAACGAUCGUAGUGUGGUAUACGAAAAGUACGAGUGGCCGUGGGUUAUUCUCCCAACUCCCAACCCCUUCUCACCCUAAUGCCACAUUUUCCUAGUGUGCUUUUCUAUUCACCAAAGUUUUAGUGAGUGGGGGUGGAAAGUUUUCGGAAAGCUAUAAAAAGCAUUCCUUCCCCUAGGGGGGCGAACGGUUUUCCGAAGAGUUGUUGAGCUGCCUUUAUGGAUUAAGUUUUGUUUAAUUAGGUUAACCGGGCACAGGUGGAAUUUUGCAGCUAGUUUUACCUUUCCGGCAUCGGAUCGGGGCACGAGGGUGGUUGGCUGAUUUCCGUUACGCCCCCACGGUAGGACGAUGACUUUAUUCUCGAGAGCCGUGCUGCAAAAGGAUUGUUUUGCAGAUACAGGUAGAUCAUGAAAGUUUGGCUUUUCAACUGGCGUGGGAUUAAAUAGGAAAUCGGAGGAGUUUAUCAUGGGGAGUCAUUUGAAAAACAUAGGAGGAGAGAGACACAGGAGUGUAAGUUGGUGUGCGGGAGAAUUGGCUUUGGUUUCAGAGAUUUUUAUAACCAAAACAUAUUUUGAUGCUCUUUGACGUUUAAAGUUUUUUGAUUGACAGCUUUCAGAUUGAUAAACAAUUUCAAUGGUUAUAGCAGGCGUUGAAAGUUUUUGAAAGACGUCCAUUUUGCAAGCUUCUGUUCGAAAAGCUUAGCGAGAAAAGUUUAAUAAUUUUUAAUUUUAGUGCAUAAAUAAGGAAUAUUAAUUUUUAUUUUUUGAGAAUGGAAUAUAUUUUAAAAACUCUGUCAUACUUGCCCUUCAUGUCCAUGAUCAUCACCGGAAAGUAUUUCCCGGUUUUUAGCUUUUUUGUUUUGUUGUCCUUGCGUAUCGUUUCCCUUCAAAACGUUAAACCGAUUGUGUGAGUUAGCAAGACCUUACAAUGUCUACCACCCUGAUACCUUUACCAUCUCGAAAAAAAAACACAACACAAAAACAUGACAUUAUCAAAAAGGGUCUUCGCGGUUGAGUGCGCUGGUCCAUGUGUUCCGUACCGGUAAGUUUGUGUUCGAGCUUUUUUUGUGUGUGUGUUGUUUUACUGUUACUUUAACAACCCCUUCCGGCUGAAGGUCGUAAGCUCUCUUGCCUCCGGUAUCGAUUUGCUCAUCCUACACACCUUCCUUCACCACUUCAUCGAAAAAAGGAAGCGACCGGAUACGUACGCUUCGACUGCAUUGCAUACAACACGCACCAUUCACAAAGCGGAACACGCGGAUGGGUUGGGUUAUAUGGGGAAGGAAGGCUUUCGACAAGGCGACGGUCGAGAUGUCGAAAAUCGUCCGCGCUAAUGGUUCGCCACACCCGGCCCGCGGUACUGUUUAGCAUUGUUAAUGUUGCUUGGUUUUUGAAUGGUUUUUGAUGUUUAUUUUUCGGCUUCUUUUGGGCCGUGCGCUCGGUUUUUGUUGGUGCAUGAAAACGAGCCGAAAAAUUGGUGAAGAGGUUACACACUGCGGAAUGAGUCAAUUAGGGCGCGCGUUCCUUUUCCACAAGAAGAUGGGCUAUUCAGCGAAGGAUGGAAUUUGUGGUACAAGCGCAAACAAGUAGGAAGCCUGUGGCAAUUUGACAAUUUCGCCUAACACUGUUAUACUGUUAUACACCCCCCCGGGGGGAAAGAGUGCAGAAAGCUGGGAAGAAGAGUGGACCUGUCAACAGAAUUGAGGUUUUUUGGAACAAGUGGUUUGUCCAAAGUUAAGCGAAUGUUGGUUUGAAAUUGAAUUAUGCAACGCGUUUUAAUUGAAUUGAUUUCCAUAUCGGUCUUUGGUGGUUGUGGGUUUUUUUCCACGUGUAUACCAGCUUUCCCCCUUUAUACUCAGGCAAAAAUGUAAAUGUUUUGCAAUUUAUUCACGAAUCAAACAUAAUUCAAUUUUGCCGAAGGGUAUUCAUAAGACUGUUCUAAAGUUUUCUAAUCAUAUUCAAGAAAAUUUUCCCUCCCUCCCGCUUGUGAUGAUUCGAUCGUGCCUUAGUCGUUAGACCGCUGGUUCGAAAUCAUCAUGUUCUGGUGAUGGCAUAAUUUAUUUUAUUCCCCCCAAAAAAAGCAAACAAAAACGGUUUGUUUUGGGUAAAUUUUUGUAAACCUCUUUAGCAAAACAUUAUCUUUCCUUUUUGGCUG